CGAAGCAACGCGCAGAACCUUUACCUAGGUUUGACAUGCUUGGAUUGCUUGCCUGGGAAACAGGUUUAAGCUGCUCUUCGGAGUGAACUUGCACAGGUGCUGCAUGGCUGUCGUCAGCUCGUGUCGUGAGAUGUCGGGUUAAGUCCCUUAACGAGCGAAACCCUUGCCGUUAGUUACCAGCGGGUCAUGCCGGGAACUCUAGCGGGACUGCCGGUGUUAAACCGGAGGAAGGUGGGAUGACGUCAAGUCAUCAUGGCCUUUAUGCCUAGGGCAUCACACGUGCUACAAUGGCCGGUACGAAGCGACGCGAGACCGCGAGGUGGAGCAAAUCGCAAAAAGCCGGCCCCAGUUCGGAUUGCAGGCUGGCAACUCGCCUGCAUGAAGUUGGAAUCGCUAGUAAUCGCGAAUCAGCUAUGUCGCGGUGAAUACGUUCCCGGGCCUU
rnacentral:rRNA from 1 species